GAGUUUGAUCGUGGCUCAGAUUGAACGCUGGCGGCAUGCCUUACACAUGCAAGUCGAACGGCAGCAUGAUCUAGCUUGCUAGAUUGAUGGCGAGUGGCGAACGGGUGAGUAAUACAUCGGAACGUGCCCUGUAGUGGGGAUAACUAGUCGAAAGAUUAGCUAAUACCGCAUACGACCUGAGGGUGAAGGUGGGGGACCGCAAGGCCUCAUGCUAUAGGAGCGGCCGAUGUCUGAUUAGCUAGUUGGUGGGGUAAAGGCCCACCAAGGCGACGAUCAGUAGCUGGUCUGAGAGGACGAUCAGCCACACUGGGACUGAGACACGGCCCAGACUCCUACGGGAGGCAGCAGUGGGGAAUUUUGGACAAUGGGCGAAAGCCUGAUCCAGCAAUGCCGCGUGUGUGAAGAAGGCCU
rnacentral:rRNA from 1 species